rnacentral:rRNA from 1 species
CAGAGGGUGCAAGCGUUGUUCGGAAUUAUUGGGCGUAAAGCGCGUGUAGGCGGCUUGUUAAGUCGGGUGUGAAAGCCCUCAGCUCAACUAGAGGAAGGGCGCCCGAAACUGGCGAGCUUGAGUGUCGGAGAGGAUGGCGGAAUACCCCAAGUAGAGGUGAAAUUCGUAGAUAUGGGGUGGAACACCGGUGGCGAAGGCGGCCAUCUGGACGACAACUGACGCUGAGACGCGAAAGCGUGGGGAGCAAACAGGAUUAGAUACCCUGGUAGUCCACGCCGUAAACGAUGAGAACUAGGUGUCGUGGGUGUUGACCCCUGCGGUGCCGUAGCUAACGCAUUAAGUUCUCCGCCUGGGAAGUACGGUCGCAAGACUA